UACGAGAGGCCCAAACGUUAUUCGGAAUUACUGGGCUUAAAGAGCGUGUAGGCGGCUUGGAAGGUCAGCUGUGAAAACUCGAGGCUCAACCUCGAGACGUCGGUUGAAACCACCUGGCUAGAGUCCGGAAGAGGAGAGUGGAAUUCCCGGUGUAGCGGUGAAAUGCGCAGAUAUCGGGAAGAACACCCGUGGCGAAGGCGGCUCUCUGGGACGGUACUGACGCUGAGACGCGAAAGCGUGGGGGGCGAACAGG
rnacentral:rRNA from 1 species